AACGUAGGAGGCAAGCGUUAUCCGGAUUUACUGGGCGUAAAGCGCGCGCAGGCGGUUUCAUAAGUCGGACGUGAAAGCCCCCGGCUCAACUGGGGGAGGCCGUUCGAAACUGUGAGACUUGAGGUCUGGAGAGGGGAGUGGAAUUCCCGGUGUAGUGGUGAAAUGCGUAGAUAUCGGGAGGAACACCAGUGGCGAAGGCGGCUCCCUGGCCAGCACCUGACGCUAAGGCGCGAAAGCGUGGGUAGCAAACGGGAUUAGAUACCCCUGUA
rnacentral:rRNA from 1 species